GAUGAACGCUGGCGGCGUGCCUAAUACAUGCAAGUCGAGCGAACGGACGAGAAGCUUGCUUUUCUGAUGUUAGCGGCGGACGGGUGAGUAACACGUGGAUAACCUACCUAUAAGACUGGGAUAACUUCGGGAAACCGAAGCUAAUACCGGAUAAUAUUUUGAACCGCAUGGUUCAAAAGUGAAAGACGGUCUUGCUGUCACUUAUAGAUGGAUCCGCGCUGCAUUAGCUAGUUGGUAAGGUAACGGCUUACCAAGGCAACGAUGCAUAGCCGACCUGAGAGGGUGAUCGGCCACACUGGAACUGAGACACUGUCCAGACUCCUACGGGAGGCAGCAGUAGGGAAUCUUCCGCAAUGGGCGAAAGCCUGACGGAGCAACGCCGCGUGAGUGAUGAAGGUCUUCGGAUCGUAAAACUCUGUUAUUAGGGAAGAACAUAUGUGUAAGUAACUGUGCACAUCUUGACGGUACCUAAUCAGAAAGCCACGGCUAACUACGUG
rnacentral:rRNA from 1 species